GAGGGAGAGAUAUCGUUAGUUUGGUUGACUACUUCUGAGUGACACACAGCAGACGCACAUUAAACUGUAGUGCUCGGAGACGGACAGACAGGCUUGGACAGGCUUUUACUAUUCAUUUGUAUUUUCUUGGGAUUAGAUCUUUAUCGGGUGUGAUCGGUAACGUGUAUUGCUGUGCCGUGUGCCGUGCAGUAAAUGUCGGUUUCAUUAAAUAAAAACUUAUUUUCAUAUAAAAUGAAGUUUGCAUUGGUAAAGUUCCUCGUGACAACAAUAAAAAAUUAUUGUCGAAACCUUUUACAUUCUUAAUUUCAGUAAAUACAAUGUCUUAACUAAAAACAAUGUGUAUAAAUACAACAAUGGCAAGGAACAAUUCAAAUGUGUCAUUUUACGUUUAUCAGAUUCAAGAAAGGAACUGUCGGAUGAAAAUGUUCACGUCCGAAAUCCGAAGAUAAAUAACUCUUCAGCUCUAGAUACGUCUACAGAUGAUGAUGAUGGAGACAAGAAAUCGGGGGCCACUAAGGCCAAACUAGUGAGAAAGAUCAAGAAUCAAAAUGAAUUGAAGGUUAAAAAGCAAAGAACAGAAGAAAUAAUUCAGGCUUUUCAAAAAUCCAAAAGGAAAUUCUGAAGAAAUCACUACUGACACCCAUUCAGGUGACGACUCAUUGUCACAAAAAGAUGAAAUUGAACAAAAUUCGUCUAAUCCUGAAAAUAAUAAAGAAAAUGGAAGAGUGAUCAGAAAGAAACGAAUCAUUAGCGAGACCGACUCUGAAAGUCAUAUGCUCGAUGAUCCACCAGAGCAAUACAUUGAACCAAUUGUUAUUAUCAAUGAAAAUAAUUUUGCUAACCAAGAAGAGAAGGAUGGGAAUAAUAGUAAGAAAGUUGACUCAAAUCCGUUGGUGCCGCGACUAUUAGAAGACAAUCAAAUGAAGGAAGAGGAAAUAGUAAAAUUAAAACGGCAAAAUCAAGAAUUUAGAUUACAAAUAGCUUUUUAUCAAUAGCAACAACAACAACAACAACGAUGUUUCAUGUUGGAGACGAUAUUUAUAUGGCUGUGUUACAGGUCUACUCAUAAAAUGUACUCACAGCCAUCAACGACAUUUGCACUCAGUAACAUUUUUAUUCAAAAUCAUCUUCAUUCAGUCACAACUUUAUUCAUUUAAAUUUUACUCUGAUUCAACUUUAUUCAAUAUUAUUUGCCUUCAGUUACAACUUUACUCAAAUUCAACAGUAGUCAAUUACAACUUUGCUCAGUUUCAAUUGUAUUCAUUUUCAAGUAUAUUCACUGAAUUUUUAACUCAGUUACAUCUCUAUUCACAACGAAUCUAUUCACUUACAUUUGUAAUCAUUUACAACUGUACUCACGAAUUUUUGCAUUAUCAAUUAACCUUAAACUUGUGAGUAGAGAUGAACGUGAGUACAGUUGUAAAUGAUUACAAAUGGAAGUGAAUAGAUUCUUUGUGAGUAGAGAUGUAACUGAGUUAAAAAUUCAGCGAAUAGACUUGAAAAUGAAUACAAUUGAAACUGAGUAAAAGUUGUUAUUGACUACUGUUGAAUUAAAGUAAGGUUGUAACUGAUUAAAGUUUUACCUGAAGGCAAAUAAUAUUGAAUAAAAGUUGAAUGAGAGUAAAAAUUUUAAUGAAUAAAGUUGUGACUGAAUGAAGAUGAUUUUGAAUAAAAAUGUAAUUGAGUGCAGAUGUCGUUGAUGGCUGUGAGUAGAGAUUUUAUGAGUAGACCUGUAACACAGCCACUGGAUUUAGCUGUAACUUACUCAUCUGUUAUGUACCCUAUCGAAAGUAUUUUCUAAAAUUUCCAGAAAUUUAUAUACCUCACAAACCAAAUUUUUAAUUUAGAAAAGAUUUUUUAUUAGUUUUCAAAAGCUGUUAUUUUUUCAAGGUUGAACUG